rnacentral:lncRNA from 1 species
CUGGGACAAUGGUUGGACAGGAUUAAGCCUGAAUAUGUUUGGGAAAUUUGCUGCAACCAAGAGGCUGAAGGAUGAGCAGCAAUGGGCAGGCCGUGUACUGAGGUGAAUCUAGAACUGGACUGGUGCUCAGAGGACUAUGGUUACAAUCCUGGUAGCCACACAUACAGAGGAGAUCCUUUUGGAAAUUGGGUGACACCUCUGCUACAUUCAGAGUUGAGAGACCCUUGCCUGAUUCAG